UGCCGAUGCUGAGAAGCAGUCCCUUCAGUCUCAGCUUGGUGAGUUGGCUGCCAGGUUGGCUGACGCCGCUCGCCAGAUGGACGAAACGACGGAGCAGCUCACAAAAGCACAGGAAGAAGUAAGCUCGUUGCGUGGCGAACUUCUAAGGGCUCAAGAGGAGAAUGCGCAGCUCGUUCACCAACUGGAAAGCAUGGAGAAGCGUUUGUCUGACACCAAAGCCGAACUGCAGGCGCAGGUGGACUCGUCAAAACAAGAGACGGCUGCUCUUAAGGUGA